AUUGGUGGGACACUCAACCAGAGGAGCAGUGGCGCAGGAAGUGGUUGGGGGGUCCUUGGCAGGCAACGUCCCCGGAGGAGACCGGGGGAGAGACGGACAUGGACGUGGUGGGGGAGGACCUUGGGUUCGAGCACGGCGGCAAAGAGAUGGAAGCAGAGGAAAUUGAGGUCGGCGAGAGCACGGAGGACGAGCCGGACUUAUCCGGCUGGAUGCACGCCACGGGGGACGAACUGUAUCCGGCACUCACCCCCACAACGACGGAGCACCCAGUACCCACACCUG